GGUUAAGCGACUAAGCGUACACGGUGGAUGCCCUGGCAGUCAGAGGCGAUGAAGGACGUGCUAAUCUGCGAUAAGCGUCGGUAAGGUGAUAUGAACCGUUAUAACCGGCGAUUUCCGAAUGGGGAAACCCAGUGUGAUUCGUCACACUAUCAUUAACUGAAUCCAUAGGUUAAUGAGGCGAACCGGGGGAACUGAAACAUCUAAGUACCCCGAGGAAAAGAAAUCAACCGAGAUUCCCCCAGUAGCGGCGAGCGAACGGGGAGCAGCCCAGAGCCUGAAUCAGUGUGUGUGUUAGUGGAAGCGUCUGGAAAGACGCGCGAUACAGGGUGACAGCCCCGUACACAAAAAUGCACAUGCUGUGAGCUCGAUGAGUAGGGCGGGACACGUGGUAUCCUGUCUGAAUAUGGGGGGACCAUCCUCCAAGGCUAAAUACUCCUGACUGACCGAUAGUGAACCAGUACCGUGAGGGAAAGGCGAAAAGAACCCCGGCGAGGGGAGUGAAAAAGAACCUGAAACCGUGUACGUACAAGCAGUGGGAGCAC
rnacentral:rRNA from 1 species